rnacentral:rRNA from 1 species
GACCUACGGGGCGCAGCAGUGGGGAAUAUUGCACAAUGGGGGAAACCCUGAUGCAGCGACGCCGCGUGAGUGAAGAAGUAUUUCGGUAUGUAAAGCUCUAUCAGCAGGGAAGAUAAUGACGGUACCUGACUAAGAAGCCCCGGCUAACUACGUGCCAGCAGCCGCGGUAAUACGGAGGAUGCGAGCGUUAUCCGGAUUUAUUGGGUUUAAAGGGUGCGUAGGCGGUCCGGAAAGUCAGCGGUAAAAGCCCGGGGCUCAACCCCGGCGAGCCGUUGAAACUGUCGGACUAGAGACGGCGAGAAGUA